UACGUAGGGCGCAAGCGUUGUCCGGAAUUAUUGGGCGUAAAGAGCUCGUAGGCGGCCUGUUGCGUCCGCUGUGAAAUCCCGGGGCUUAACCCCGGGCUUGCAGUGGAUACGGGCAGGCUGGAGGCAGGCAGGGGAGAACGGAAUUCCCGGUGUAGCGGUGAAAUGCGUAGAUACUGGGAGGAACACCAGUGGCGAAGGCGGCUACCUGGACCGGUUCUGACGCUGAGGCGCGAAAGCGUGGGUAGCAAACAGG
rnacentral:rRNA from 1 species